rnacentral:sRNA from 1 species
GACUGCAGUGUACUCUCAAUGAGGAAGAUAUAGAUACGAAAAGAACUAGAGCCGCAUCACAUGGGGACUUCUGCAAAUACAGAGACUCGGAUUAAAGGUGGAGAAGAUGGAGCUAAUGGAACUGCUUAUUUAAUACAUUUGAACAACUUUUGGGGUACUUAGGUGCUUUGAAACCUCCAUUUGAUUAAGCAAGAAUUCGCUUGCAAGUUAAGGGUUAGAUUUUUUUAUUUUUUAAAAAUAUGGUUUCUGCCACAUGUAAACCGUGAGUUGUCCUAAAAUGAUAAGCUUUGAUAUUCUGUGGUGUUUAUUUUUUACUUAUCUUUUUGAAUGAAAAGUGAACAACAAGAAAUGCUGGUGGUAAUUUUUUGGGUCAAUGAUGAGUUGGCAUGUAUUCUGAAUCUAAAGUUGAUUAUUACUACUUUAGCUCUAGAAUUACUCUGAGACCUGAAAAUUACCUGAAUCGUGACUAAGACGAAGCCUGAAUGAUUUAAGUUCUUUUUUGUUGGAUACAAUUUGUUGUUGUUGUUGUUUUGGUUUUGUUUUUGAGUCGGUCUCCGGUCGCCCAGGAUGGAGUGCAGUGACACAACCUCAGUUCACUGCAGCCUUAAUUUCCCUGGCUCAAGCGGUCUUCUACCUCAGCCUCCCUAGUUAGUUACAAUUUUUAAAUGGAACGUUUUCCUAUUACAAGAUGAAAUCAAGUGAAAAUUGAGAUGUAUGUUGAAUCUAUGCUGUGGGGCAGAAGAACGUUGUAGAGGUAAACAUUGAUGAGAUUACCACUUUAUUUUGAAAGGGCACUCCACAGAAGGAUGUUAUUAUCAAGUCAGAUGCACCGGACACUUUGUUAUUGGAGAAACAUGCAGAUUAUAUCGCAUCCUAUGGCUCAAAGAAAGAUGAUUAUGAAUACUGUAUGUCUGAGUAUUUGAGAAUGAGUGGCAUCUAUUGGGGUCUGACAGUAAUGGAUCUCAUGGGACAACUUCAUCGCAUGAAUAGAGAAGAGAUUCUGGCAUUUAUUAAGUCUUGCCAACAUGAAUGUGGUGGAAUAAGUGCUAGUAUCGGACAUGAUCCUCAUCUUUUAUACACUCUUAGUGCUGUCCAGAUUCUUACGCUGUAUGACAGUAUUAAUGUUAUUGACGUAAAUAAAGUUGUGGAAUAUGUUAAAGGUCUACAGAAAGAAGAUGGUUCUUUUGCUGGAGAUAUUUGGGGUCCCACUAAGCAGCUGGUCUAACUGGAGUUAAUGGUCUGCUGGAACUUCCAGCAUGCACUGUGGUAGUUAUAUCAGCAUAUACAGGAGCACUGGAACAGAGGGGGCCAGUCUAAAAGAUAAGGGAUGAACACAGUGCAGGCCAGAGAGACCAGCUGCUUCAUGGGAUGUGAAAAAUCUACUUUUAUAAAGUAGGGAGAAAUUGACACAAGAUUCUCUUUUUGUGCGGUGGCAACUUUGGCUUUGUUGGGGAAGCUUGAUGCUAUUAAUGUGGAAAAGGCAAUCGAAUUUGUUUUAUCCUGUAUGAACUUUGACGGUGGAUUUGGUUGCAGACCAGGUUCUGAAUCCCAUGCUGGGCAGAUCUAUUGUUGCACAGGAUUUCUGGCUAUUACAAGUCAGUUGCAUCAAGUAAAUUCUGAUUUACUUGGCUGGUGGCUUUGUGAACGACAGUUACCCUCAGGCGGGCUCAAUGGAAGGCCGGAGAAGUUACCAGAUGUAUGCUACUCAUGGUGGGUCCUGGCUUCCCUAAAAAUAAUUGGAAGACUUCAUUGGAUUGAUAGAGAGAAACUGCGUAAUUUCAUUUUAGCAUGUCAAGAUGAAGAAACGGGGGGAUUUGCAGACAGGCCAGGAGAUAUGGUGGAUCCUUUUCAUACCUUAUUUGGAAUUGCUGGAUUGUCACUUUUGGGAGAAGAACAGAUUAAACCUGUUAAUCCUGUCUUUUGCAUGCCUGAAGAAGUGCUUCAGAGAGUGAAUGUUCAGCCUGAGCUAGUGAGCUAGAUUCAUUGAAUUGAAAGUUGCAUAGUAUAGUUUUGCCAUUUUAACAUUUCUGUAUUUGAAGUGCUUAUCGAAUCUAAAAGUGACUACUGUUAAUAUUUUGUAUAUUGUGUUAAAUUAAUUUUAAUAAAUUAUAUAAUUAUACAUAUUGUAAAA